AGAGUUUGAUCCUGGCUCAGGACGAACGCUGGCGGCGUGCUUAACACAUGCAAGUCGAGCGAUGAAGCACCUUCGGGUGUGAAUUAGCGGCGAACGGGUGAGGAACACGUGAGAAAUCUGCCUUCAACACUGGGAUAACUCCGGGAAACCGGGGCUAAUACCGGAUAUGAAACCUGCGGGCAUCCGCGGGUUUGGAAAGUUUUUCGGUUGAAGAUGAUCUCGCGGCCUAUCAGCUUGUUGGUGAGGUAAUGGCUCACCAAGGCGACGACGGGUAGCCGGCCUGAGAGGGCGACCGGCCACACUGGGACUGAGACACGGCCCAGACUCCUACGGGAGGCAGCAGUGGGGAAUAUUGGGCAAUGGAGGAAACUCUGACCCAGCGACGCCGCGUGCGGGAUGAAGGCCUUCGGGUUGUAAACCGCUUUCAGCAGGGAAGAAGCGAAAGUGACGGUACCUGCAGAAGAAGCACCGGCUAACUAUGUGCCAGCAGCCGCGGUAAUACAUAGGGUGCAAGCGUUGUCCGGAAUUAUUGGGCGUAAAGAGCUCGUAGGUGGUUCGUCACGUCGGAUGUGAAACUCUGGGGCUUAACCCCAGACCUGCAUUCGAUACGGGCGAGCUUGAGUAUGGUAGGGGAGUCUGGAAUUCCUGGUGUAGCGGUGGAAUGCGCAGAUAUCAGGAGGAACACCAAUGGCGAAGGCAGGACUCUGGGCCAUUACUGACACUGAGGAGCGAAAGCGUGGGGAGCGAACAGGAUUAGAUACCCUGGUAGUCCACGCCGUAAACGGUGGGCACUAGUUGUG
rnacentral:rRNA from 1 species